rnacentral:misc_RNA from 1 species
GAUGAAGAACGCAGCGAAAUGUGAUACGUAAUGUGAAUUGCAGAAUUCAGUGAAUCAUCGAGUCUUUGAACGCACAUUGCGCCCCCUGGUAUUCCGGGGGGCAUGCCUGUCCGAGCGUCAUUGCUGCCCUCAAGCACGGCUUGUGUGUUGGGCCUCCGUCCUCCUCCCGGGGGACGGGCCCGAAAGGCAGCGGCGGCACCGCGUCCGGUCCUCGAGCGUAUGGGGCUUCGUCACCCGCUCUUGUAGGCCCGGCCGGCGCUUGCCGACACAUCAAUCUUUUUUCCAGGUUGACCUCGGAUCAGGCAGGGAUACCCGCUGAACUUAAGCAUAUCAAUAAGCGGAGGA